UGAUAGAGGCGCGGCUGAAAAGAGUAACCGUUUCACAACAGGCAAAGGAAACGGCGAAAGGGUUAGCUGCCGAGGAAUUACAUUCGCUGCCUGGCGGUGUAAUGUCCGGGCCGCCGGAGAAUAUCCGUCGGACUGUCGUUCGGAAACGAACGGAGCGCUGUC
rnacentral:ncRNA from 1 species